CUUUUUUUUUUUUUUUUUUUUUUUUUUUUNCCAUUUAAGGGCCGCACCUGAGGCAUAUGGAGGUUCCCAGGCUAGGGGUCCAAUCAGAGCGGUAGGCACCAACCUACGCCAGAGCCACAGCAAUGAGGGAUCUGAGCCGCAUCUGCGACCUACACCACCGCUCACGGCAACGCUGGAUCCUUAACCCACUGAGCAAGGUCAGGGAUCAAACCCACAACCUCAUGGUUCCUAGUCGGAUUCGUUUCCGCUGCACCACAACAGGAGCCCCCCUUCACUGAUUUUUAAGACUUUUUUUUUUAAUGGAGGUUCCCAGGCUAGGGGUUGAAUCGGAGCUGUAGCCAUCGGCCUACACCAGAGCCACAGCAACGCCGGAUCCAAGCCGUGUCUACAACCUACAUCACAGCUCACCGCAACGCCGGAUCCUUAACCCACUGAGCAAGGGCAGGGAUCAAACCCACAACCUCAUGGUUCCUAGUCGGAUUCGUUAACCACUGCGCCACGACGGGAACUCCAAGACCUCUUUAUAUAUUAAGGUUAUCGAGGACAAACUCUGCAAUUACAUGUGUUGUCCAUAUCUUUCCUCAGUGUGUCAUACACCUUUAAAUACUGGUAUGAGUGCCUAGCAUCAAGAGUUAUCAGACAUUGAAGUUCCCGUCGUGGCUCAUGGUUAACGAAUCCAACUAGGAACCAUGAGGUUGUGGGUUCGAUCCCUGGCCUUGCUCAGUGGGUUAAGGAUCUGGCGUUGUCGUGAGCUGUGGUGUAAGUCUCAGACGCGGCUCGGAUCCCACGUUGCUGUGGCUCUGGCAUAGGUCGGUGCCUACGGCUCCAAUUGGAUCCCUAGCCUGGGAACCUCCAUAUGCCUCGGGAGCAGCCCUAAAAAAGACAAAAAAUAAAUUUUAAAAAUAAAUUAAAAAAAAAUAAAUCCCAAGUUAAUUCAAUGAACUGGUGAUUGUAACUUUAUGCCACUGUCAACUCCCGUCUUGCCACAAGCUUUUCAAUAGCAAGAGAAAAAAAGAAAGAAAGAAAGAAAGAAAGAAAGAAAGAAAGAAAGAAAGAAAGAAAGAAAGAAAAGAAAAAACCAACUCUGUAAAUUGGUUUUCCAAUUUAUGUUGAAGAAAUCUGUUUUCCACUUUCUAAUUUCUACAACUGGGAAAUUCUGUAUAUUAUGUUACCAUAUAAUGAAGGAUGCCAGUAAACAGAAAGCCCACACGCCUGCACACGCAACAGAUUACACUGUGUGUAAUUGCAAACACUACCACGUUAUGUACUCCUGGGAGUAUUAUUACGGAGAUGUUGUUAUUUAAUGCCUCAUCUAUUUAAAAAAAAAAAAAAUUCGUGCCAUAUGGAUGAAAAAUGAGUAUACUAGCCUGAAUAUGGGGGAAAAUGUAAUCAGAGAUCACUUAAAAGCCAUACCGUUUUAUACAAGGAUGAGAUGGUACAACCAAAAAACUAAGGAAUUCAGAAUGUCUCAAUUUACAAGGCAUGAGCUCACUGCUGGCUACUAAGAUCUCCAUCCUGGCACUGAGAUUGGAGGAGGCUAGCAACAAACGUCACAGCCAUCCUUUGGACUUUCCUGGACCACUGAAGUUACUCCUAAGGACACAGCACCUUGGGACUCCCACCUACGGCACCCAGGGAGGCAGAGCCCCUGGGGAAGGCAGCACCUACAGCCUAGAGGCUCUCCCUGCUGGGGACGAGCCAUCCAGACAGACAUCUGCCGAGCCUCAAGCCUCAUAAAGAGCGCCAGACUCGGGAAGGAGAGCCCCACCUCCAUCGAUCGCCCACGUACCAAGUGGAGUUCAGGACUGCGCUGUGCCUCAUUCAUUCCCCUCUGACCUAUGUGCACAGGAGGGGCAGCAGCCAUUGCUGCUAAAACAAAAGACAGAUGACAGGAAAACCUACUGCCCUUUGGCCGUUCCGAGCACAGGGGAAGUGUAAAAGUGCAGGGGGGGAAGGCAGGCCAGCUGCGCUAAUCCCUUUUUGUCCAGCAGUAAUUAAUAGUAUAAUCCACAUCUAAGAUGCAUUAAAGCGAAAACGCCGCAUUAUCAGAGCGCCCUGCACAUUGCCCCAAGGCAGAACCUCCCCUGCUGACCUGCACAGCCAGGUUACCUCGUCUCAGCCUCCACUUCUCAGGGGAGCUGACUCUGGACACCUCAUAAAAGGACCGAGCUAGCAGCCAGAAGCCUGCACUCAGCCCAACACUCCGAGUCUCUCUUUGGAAAGCACUCCCUUCCCAGGCAGCCCUGCCGGCACAUGGGCUCCACAUUCUGAAGAAGGAGUCAUUCAAAGCAAGUCCUGGGCUCUCUGGCUAACCUUGCAAGGUCACAAGUCCCCUGAUGGCGUUUUAAGAGGUAAGCUGGGGUGAUGCAAGAAGAACGACAAUGCCGUUCACCUCAGUUUGGUGGGAUGGUUCCUUAGGUGUUUCCUACAAAUCCUGGGGGCCCCAGGUAAGCCUCUAUCAAGGAGGAGAAGCCAGCUGCUGCUGUCCAGGCCCGAGGAGGAUACCCCUCCCACCACGACUGAAAUACUGUCUCUAGAGAGAGGCCAUCAGCUCAUCAGGCACAAAGCACAUUCAAGCUGCAGUCAAAUGCCACUGCCCCUUAAAACUCGAGGUGCCUGAAGAAGCAAACUGCUCAACCACACUCUGAAGCCACCACCGACUGAGAACGUGAU
rnacentral:lncRNA from 1 species